UACGUAGGGUGCGAGCGUUGUCCGGAAUUAUUGGGCGUAAAGGGCGCGUAGGCGGCCUGGCAAGUGGAAGGUGAAAUCCCUCGGCUUAACCGAGGAACUGCCUCCCAAACUGCUUGGCUUGAGACCGGGAGAGGUGAGUGGAAUUCCCAGUGUAGCGGUGAAAUGCGUAGAUAUUGGGAGGAACACCAGUGGCGAAGGCGGCUCACUGGACCGGUACUGACGCUGAUGCGCGAAAGCGUGGGGAGCAAACGGG
rnacentral:rRNA from 1 species